rnacentral:rRNA from 1 species
UGGUGAUCAUGCCGGAGGGGUUCCACCCGUUCCCAUACCGAACACGGAAGUUAAGACCUUCAGGGCCGAUGAUACUUGGGGCGCAAGCCCCUGGCAAAGUAGGUCAUCGCCAGGUA